CUCGUAGGUGGCCAACUAAGUCAAACGUGAAAUCCCUCGGCUUAACCGGGGAACUGCGUUUGAUACUGGAUGGCUUGAGUUUGGGAGAGGGAUGCGGAAUUCCAGGUGUAGCGGUGAAAUGCGUAGAUAUCUGGAGGAACACCGGUGGCGAAGGCGGCAUCCUGGACCAAUACUGACGCUGAGGAGCGAAAGCUAGGGGGAGCAAACGG
rnacentral:rRNA from 1 species